rnacentral:lncRNA from 1 species
GGGUCUGAGCGUAACUUAGAAUUAGAGGAGUUAUGUAGCGGUGUCACUCUGGGAUGUACUUCCUGUCUGGCUAUCGUGAGAACUCCAGCUAGAGUCUGUUCUCUUCACUUGUGUCUCCUCAUCUAGUUGAUUACUCGACUGUUGUGGAGAUGCUAUGAAGGGGGCCAUAGCUCUAGUGACCUUUGAUCCUUAGGCUCAGGGAACUAUCCUGGUGAGAUUGCAUAUACUUGACCUUAAAUCUAAAAGGUUGAACCUUCACUAGGGCACAAAGGGAGAUGUGUGCAGUCUUAUAACCCUCAUUUUUGCUUAAUAAAAUCAAGCACCUUGUACAAGGCAAUCUGAGUUGAAAUAUUCUUUCCCUGUUUGCACACCAGUGGAUGUUGAGGUUGACAGGAGUAAAUUUGAAAUGCUAAAAAAGGAUGACAGCCAUAGAAGGUGAAUGAAACGUUAAGUCUGAAAAUGUUGCAAGGCUUGCUUAGUCCCGGG